GACGAACGCUGGCGGCGUGCCUAAUACAUGCAAGUAGAACGCUGAAGGAGGAGCUUGCUUCUCCGGAUGAGUUGCGAACGGGUGAGUAACGCGUAGGUAACCUGCCUGGUAGCGGGGGAUAACUAUUGGAAACGAUAGCUAAUACCGCAUAACAGUAGAUAUUGCAUGAUAUCUGCUUGAAAGGUGCAAUUGCAUCACUACCAGAUGGACCUGCGUUGUAUUAGCUAGUUGGUGAGGUAACGGCUCACCAAGGCGACGAUACAUAGCCGACCUGAGAGGGUGAUCGGCCACACUGGGACUGAGGCACGGCCCAGACUCCUACGGGAGGCAGCAGUAGGGAAUCUUCGGCAAUGGACGGAAGUCUGACCGAGCAACGCCGCGUGAGUGAAGAAGGUUUUCGGAUCGUAAAGCUCUGUUGUAAGAGAAGAACGAGUGUGAGAGUGGAAAGUUCACACUGUGACGGUAUCUUACCAGAAAGGGACGGCUAACUACGUG
rnacentral:rRNA from 1 species